rfam:TPA: Bos taurus chromosome 20, whole genome shotgun sequence.
UCCCUGGUGGUCCAGUGGCUAAGACUCUACACUCUCAAUGCAGGGGACCCAGGUUAGAUCCCAGGUUAGGGAA